GAUGAACGCUAGCGGGAGGCUUAAUACAUGCAAGUCGAACGGUAAGGCCCUGCUUGCAGGGUACACGAGUGGCGAACGGGUGAGUAACGCGUACACGACCUACCCUUAAGAGGACGAUAGCCCUGGGAAACUGGGAUUAAUAGUCCAUGUGAUUUAUGAUAAUAAAGGUUAUAAAUUAAAGUUACGGCGCUUAAGGAUGGGUGUGCGUUAGAUUAGCUAGUUGGUAAGGUAAUGGCUUACCAAGGCUACGAUCUAUAGGGGGCGUGAGAGCGUGAACCCCCACACGGGUACUGAGACACGGACCCGACUCCUACGGGAGGCAGCAGUAAGGAAUAUUGGACAAUGGGGGCAACCCUGAUCCAGCCAUCCCGCGUGCAGGAUGACGGCCCUAUGGGUUGUAAACUGCUUUUAGAUAGGAAGAAUAGCUAUGAUUUAUCAUAGUGUGACGGUACUAUCAGAAUAAGCACCGGCUAACUCCG
rnacentral:rRNA from 1 species